rnacentral:rRNA from 1 species
GACGAACGCUGGCGGCGUGCUUAACACAUGCAAGUCGAACGGAAAGGCCCUGCUUUUGUGGGGUGCUCGAGUGGCGAACGGGUGAGUAACACGUGAGUAACCUGCCCUUGACUUUGGGAUAACUUCAGGAAACUGGGGCUAAUACCGGAUAGGAGCUCCUGCUGCAUGGUGGGGGUUGGAAAGUUUCGGCGGUUGGGGAUGGACUCGCGGCUUAUCAGCUUGUUGGUGGGGUAGUGGCUUACCAAGGCUUUGACGGGUAGCCGGCCUGAGAGGGUGACCGGCCACAUUGGGACUGAGAUACGGCCCAGACUCCUACGGGAGGCAGCAGUGGGGAAUAUUGCACAAUGGGCGGAAGCCUGAUGCAGCAACGCCGCGUGCGGGAUGACGGCCUUCGGGUUGUAAACCGCUUUCGCCUGUGACGAAGCGUGAGUGACGGUAAUGGGUAAAGAAGCACCGGCUAACUACGUGCCAGCAGCCGCGGUGAUACGUAGGGUGCGAGCGUUGUCCGGAUUUAUUGGGCGUAAAGGGCUCGUAGGUGGUUGAUCGCGUCGGAAGUGUAAUCUUGGGGCUUAACCCUGAGCGUGCUUUCGAUACGGGUUGACUUGAGGAAGGUAGGGGAGAAUGGAAUUCCUGGUGGAGCGGUGGAAUGCGCAGAUAUCAGGAGGAACACCAGUGGCGAAGGCGGUUCUCUGGGCCUUUCCUGACGCUGAGGAGCGAAAGCGUGGGGAGCGAACAGGCUUAGAUACCCUGGUAGUCCACGCUGUAAACGGUGGGUACUAGGUGUGGGGUCCAUUCCACGGGUUCCGUGCCGUAGCUAACGCUUUAAGUACCCCGCCUGGGGAGUACGGCCGCAAGGCUAAAACUCAAAGGAAUUGACGGGGCCCCGCACAAGCGGCGGAGCAUGCGGAUUAAUUCGAUGCAACGCGUAGAACCUUACCUGGGUUUGACAUGGGUCGGGAGUGCUCAGAGAUGGGUGUGCCUCUUUUGGGGUCGGUUCACAGGUGGUGCAUGGCUGUCGUCAGCUCGUGUCGUGAGAUGUUGGGUUAAGUCCCGCAACGAGCGCAACCCUUGUUCACUGUUGCCAGCACGUUAUGGUGGGGACUCAGUGGAGACCGCCGGGGUCAACUCGGAGGAAGGUGGGGAUGACGUCAAGUCAUCAUGCCCCUUAUGUCCAGGGCUUCACGCAUGCUACAAUGGCUGGUACAGAGAGUGGCGAGCCUGUGAGGGUGAGCGAAUCUCGGAAAGCCGGUCUCAGUUCGGAUUGGGGUCUGCAACUCGACCUCAUGAAGUCGGAGUCGCUAGUAAUCGCAGAUCAGCAACGCUGCGGUGAAAACGUUCCCGGGGCU